CUGCUUCCUGGAAUGAGUCACAUUUCUACCUGUGAUGGAGGGAGGACAGGUAGGAGGAGGACAGGUAGGAGGAGGACAGGUAGGAGGAGGAACAUCAGACCUUCCUCCUCCUCUUUACAGUUCACAGCCCACACUGACAUUCACUGACAUGCACAAAGGAAGUGUUAGGGUCCCUGUCUGUUUCCCCUGUGUGUGUGUUCCUGGAUUACUCGUGUGUGCGUCUGGCUCCCUCUGUCUGUCUUGUGCGUCAUGUCUGUCCCCAUCCAGGAGAGUUACAGCAGCAGCAAUCACCCCACCUGGGCUGAUCUUCACACCAGGACCUCAUUCACCAAUCAACCACUGCAGUACUUAAACAACGGAUCUUUCUUCAUUCCUCGCCGGAUCGUCCAGUUACUUACCUGAUUCCUGGUCCUUCGGAUUCCGUCAGCCCAACCUGCUACGCCCACCUCCUGGAUUGUUUCCUUCCCAGUCUGAUUCCCUUCCAUCUCCAGCACAAGCAGCUCCACAAAACGCUCUGUCUGCCAUCCACUCUGUCUGCCGUGACCACCGUGAUUCCUGGAUCCUGCUUGUGGAUUAAUACUGCUCUUCGGACUCUGUUCAAGAAACUCUAUUAAAUUCCCUUUUCUUAAA